rnacentral:rRNA from 1 species
GAUGAACGCUAGCGGCAGGCUUAAUACAUGCAAGUCGAGGGACAGCACAGGUAGCAAUACUGGGUGGUAACCGGCAAACGGGUGCGGAACACGUACACAACCUUCCUUUAAGUGGGGGAUAGCCCAGAGAAAUUUGGAUUAAUACCCCGUAAUAUAGUUUGAUGGCAUCAUCGGACUAUUAUAUCUACGGCGCUUAAUGAUGGGUGGGCGGCUGAUUAGAUAGUUGGCGGGGUAACGGCCCACCAAGUCUACGAUCAGUAGCUGAUGUGAGAGCAUGAUCAGCCAGACGGGCACUGAGACACGGGCCCGACUCCUACGAGAGGCAGCAGUAAGGAAUAUUGGUCAAUGGACGCAAGUCUGAACCAGCCAUGCCGCGUGAAGGAUUAAGGUCCUCUGGAUUGUAAACUUCUUUUAUUUGGGACGAAAAAGGGUCUUUCUAGAUCAACUGACGGUACCAGAUGAAUAAGCACCGGCUAACUCCGUGCCAGCAGCCGCAGUAACAC